CUCAUUUGACCUUAGGAAAAAAAAAAAAAGACACUCAUUGGGUGAUUUUUAAUAUCCUAGUAGGAAAUGUUGUAAAUAAGUUAAAGGAAUCUGUAUUGGGUUUACAUGGCAAAGAUUUGGUAGCAAGGGGACUGCAGAGGUGGCCUCUGUGAGCAGAGUCCUGCAGCUGCCCCACGUCAGAGCAGAGCCGGCUCCAAAAGGGACCUGCAGCUGGCCAGAGCCGAGCCAGGGACCGAUGCUGGGUAGGCCUCUGGAAGAAUGGAGUUAAGGAAGGGAAACAACAUUCAACAGCAGCUGAGAGAGAGGGGUGAGAACAUGUGAGGGAACAAGCCCCCAGCAGUUCCCCAAAGUCAAUGCAGCAAGAGGUGCUCCAGGUGCCAGAGCCAGUGUUUCGCUGCAGCCUGUGGAGAGGCCCCUGGUGGAGCAGGUGGAGACAAAGUAUUGUGGGCUGACUGCAGGCCCCAUUUUCCUGCACUACUUAGGGGGAUAGGGUAGAAGAGAGUAGAUGGAGGGCAGGUGGUUUUAGUUUGCUUUUAGUUUCUCAUUGGUCUUGUCUGAUAGCAGUAGACAAUAAGUUUUGUUAAUCUCCCUUCUGUGAAUCUGUUUUGCCUGUCAUGUUAAUUGGUUGGGCGAUCAUACUGUCCUUAUCUCAACCUGUGAGUGUUUUUUUUUUCUUUUUUUUUUUUUUCUUUUGUUUUAUUUUGUUUUUGUUUUUUCCUCCACCUGUUCCUGUGAGGAGGGGAAGUGAGAGGGUGAUGUGGUGGAGUUUCAUUGGCCAUCAGUGUGAAACCACUACAGAAUCUCUGCCUGAAGGUGCUUUGUAUUUCUCCUUGAGAGUAGAGGACUCCAGGAAACUGUUGCACAGUUUGCAGACGGAUACAUCAAAAUCCACAAAGUGCUGGAAAUCAAGCAUGAAGCCUGCUUUAAAAUAUAGUGGCUGUUAAUAACAUUGUGAGGACAAAGAUGCAGCUCGAAGUGGUUGAAGCACGUCUCAUUGAACCUGGUGGGUGUGUGUACUCUGCUCUCAGAGAAGGGCCAAGGAAAGGAUGAGUCAAGUAGUACAGAAGUUGUUCUGACAAAGAGUUGGCCCACUGAAAAUAUGGAAAUACUGAAAAUAUGGAAACUAGUGAAAACCACCAUGACCAGGCCUUACUUAAGAAUCCCACAUAUAAACCUCUUAUCUCUGACUGCAGCUUCAACGAGACGUUAUUCAUAAUGACCUCUGCAAACACAGACUUAAUGAGAGCAAGUUGUGAGGCUCUGAGUGAAGAUAGGAAUAGAACAAAACACAGUCUCCUUCACCUAUUUAUGGAAAGAAAAGAUUCAUAAGCACAGAUGGGAACGCUGGGACUACCAUAAACGCUCAGACUAAACUGUGUUAAAACAAAUUUUCAUAUUGUAAGUGACAUUUUAAACAUGUGUCUCCUUCUGAAAAAAAAAUUCAAGCAAUGAAUAAUGGAGUUGAAUCAAAUGGAGCAAAAGGCAUCUUGCAGCUAGUGAGUGCUCAAAAGCACUGACUCACUUCAGAUCUUUAUUUUUUCUUUUUCUGAAAGCUUCACCUGCAAUGAAUGUGACCUAGUGAAUUAAAGAAACAAAAAGACAGGAAAAAGCAGCAAAUAACUUACGAGCCAUCUACUGAACCAAGAUUUGUUAACAUAAAA
rnacentral:lncRNA from 1 species